CCUGGAACUCACUUUGUAGACGAGGCUAGCCUCAAACUCACUGAGAUCCACCUGCUUCUGCCUCCUGAGUGUUGGGAU
ensembl:miRNA